rnacentral:rRNA from 1 species
GAUGAACGCUGGCGGCGUGCCUAAUACAUGCAAGUCGAGCGAACAGACGAGGAGCUUGCUCCUCUGACGUUAGCGGCGGACGGGUGAGUAACACGUGGAUAACCUACCUAUAAGACUGGGAUAACUUCGGGAAACCGGAGCUAAUACCGGAUAAUAUAUUGAACCGCAUGAUUCAAUAGUGAAAGACGGUUUUGCUGUCACUUAUAGAUGGAUCCGCGCCGCAUUAGCUAGCUGGUAAGGUAACGGCUUACCAAGGCAACGAUGCGUAGCCGACCUGAGAGGGUGAUCGGCCACACUGGAACUGAGACACGGUCCAGACUCCUACGGGAGGCAGCAGUAGGGAAUCUUCCGCAAUGGGCGAAAGCUUGACGGAGCAACGCCGCGUGAGUGAUGAAGGUCUUCGGAUCGUAAAACUCUGUUAUUAGGGAAGAACAAAUGUGUAAGUAACUAUGCACGUCUUGACGGUACCUAAUCAGAAAGCCACGGCUAACUACGUG